GACGAACCACACAAACGUUAUUCGGAAUUACUGGGCUUAAAGGGUGCGUAGGCGGUCUGUCGCGUCGGCUGUGAAAACCCGGGGCUCAACCCCGGGCCUGCAGUCGAUACGGGCAGACUAGAGUGCGGUAGGGGAGACUGGAAUUCCUGGUGUAGCGGUGAAAUGCGCAGAUAUCAGGAGGAACACCGGUGGCGAAGGCGGGUCUCUGGGCCGUAACUGACGCUGAGGAGCGAAAGCGUGGGGAGCGAACAGG
rnacentral:rRNA from 1 species